CGUUUGCCGUGAAAACCUGCGGCUUAACCGUGGGCGUGCGGUGGAUACGGGCACACUUGAGUUCGGUAGGGGAGACUGGAAUUCCUGGUGUAGCGGUGGAAUGCGCAGAUAUCAGGAGGAACACCAGUGGCGAAGGCGGGUCUCUGGGCCGAAACUGACGCUGAGGAGCGAAAGCGUGGGGAGCGAACUAGGAUUAGAUUUCUCUGGUAG
rnacentral:rRNA from 1 species